rnacentral:rRNA from 1 species
GACGAACGCUGGCGGCGUGCUUAACACAUGCAAGUCGAACGGAAAGACCCUGCUUUUGUGGGUUGCUCGAUUGGCGAACGGGUGAGUAACACGUGUGUAACCUGCCCUUGACUUUCUGGUAACUUUAGGGAACUGGGGCUAAUAUCGGAGAGGAUCUCCUGCUGCAUGUUGUGGGAUGGAGAGAUUCGGCUGUUGGGGAUGGACUCGCGGCUUAUCCGCUUGUUUGUGUGGUAGUUGCUUACCAAGGCUUUGACGGGUAGCCGGCCUGAGAGCGUGACCGGCCACCUUGGGCCUGAGGUACGGCGCAGACUCGAACGGGAGGCAGCAGGGGGGAAUAUUGCAGAAUGGGCGGACGUCAGAUGUAGCAACGCUGGGUGCGGAAUGACGGGCUUUGGGUUAUGAACCACUUUCGCAUGAGCCGAAGCGUGAGUGACGGUAAUGGGUAAAGAAGCAACGGCUAACUACGUG